rnacentral:rRNA from 1 species
UACAGAGGGUGCGAGCGUUAAUCGGAAUUACUGGGCGUAAAGCGUGCGUAGACGGUUAUUUAAGUCGGGUGUGAAAGCCCCGGGCUCAACCUGGGAAUUGCAUUCGAGACUGAAUAGCUAGGGUACGGUAGAGGGAAGCGGAAUUUCCGGUGUAGCGGUGAAAUGCGUAGAUAUCAAGAGGAACACCUGAGGUGAAGACGGGUUGCUGGGCUGACACUGACGCUGAGGCGCGAAAGCUAGGGUAGCAAACGGG